rnacentral:rRNA from 1 species
CCUACGGGGGGCUGCAGUAAGGAAUAUUGGUCAAUGGACGCAAGUCUGAACCAGCCAUGCCGCGUGGAGGAUGAAGGUCCUCUGGAUUGUAAACUUCUUUUAUUUGGGAAGAAACUCCCGAUUUCCAUCGGGAUUGACGGUACCAGAUGCAUCAGCACCGGCUACCUCCGUGCCAGCAGCCGCGGUCAUACGGAGGGUGCCGGCUUUAUCCGGUUUAACGGGGUUUAAGGUGGGCAGGUAAGUGAGGGUUGAAAUCUCCGGGCUUAACCCGGAAACUGCCAUUGAUACUAUUUGUCUUGAAUACUCUGGAGGGGAGCGGAAUAUGUCAUGUAGCGGUGAAAUGCUUAGAUAUGACAGAGAACACCCAUUGCGAAGGCAGCUCACUACGGAAAUAUUGACGCUGAGGCACGAAAGCGUGGGGAUCAAACAGGAUUAGAUACCCUAGUAGUC